CAGCCGCCGCGGGAAUACGUAGGGUGCAAGCGUUAAUCGGAAUUACUGGGCGUAAAGCGUGCGCAGGCGGUUUGUUAAGACAGAUGUGAAAUCCCCGGGCUUAACCUGGGAACUGCAUUUGUGACUGGCAAGCUAGAGUAUGGCAGAGGGGGGUGGAAUUCCGCGUGUAGCAGUGAAAUGCGUAGAUAUGCGGAGGAACACCGAUGGCGAAGGCAGCCCCCUGGGCCAAUACUGACGCUCAUGCACGAAAGCGUGGGGAGCAAACAGGAUUAGAUACCCCCGUAGUCCCUGUCUCUUAUAC
rnacentral:rRNA from 1 species